rnacentral:rRNA from 1 species
UACAGAGGUCUCAAGCGUUGUUCGGAUUCAUUGGGCGUAAAGGGUGCGUAGGCGGCGCGGUAAGUCGGGUGUGAAAUCUCGGAGCUUAACUCCGAAACUGCAUUCGAUACUGCCGUGCUUGAGUACGGGAGAGGUGAGUGGAACUCCGAGUGUAGAGGUGAAAUUCGUAGAUAUUCGGAAGAACACCAGUGGCGAAGGCGACUCACUGGCCCGUUACUGACGCUGAGGCACGGAAAGCGUGGGGAGCAAACAGG